AGCAGUCAGUGCUCAACCACUGAGCCCUGUCUCCAGCCCCCAACAACUUGUUAUUUUUAACUGAAAUGUGUUGUUAGCCCAGAGCUUCCUAGCACACAAAGCAAAAACAGGAGCAGGAUGGAUUAGCUGUGUCUGUUGUCUUGUAGUUCUAUGACCUACAUGAAUAUAGAGUUAACCCACUUCAAUGUUGACAAAUCAAAAUGGAAAGUAAAACCACUCAGGAGUCUCUGCUCUGUUUAGCGGAGUUAUAGACAGCCCAGUCCUGCAGAGUCUGUUACCUGCCUUGCUAGGGUAAACCAAAAGAAUCACAGUUAUCACAAAGAAGGAAGUGCCCCAGUGGGUGACUCUAUCAGAUCAGUUCAAGCCUCCCCCCCACCACCACCACCUUGUUUGGGUUUCAUCAUUUCAUUGCUUUAGCCUCAUCCCAAAUUAAGUCACAAACAGGCUCAGUGACUUCAGGGUCCUAAGCAGGCAGAAUUAAUGACGAAAAUAGAAAUGCUGAAAAUAGUGGAAACCAAAGCAGAUUGGAUGAUUUAUUCAAACCUUGAGGAGAAACGACUGUUCAGCCCAGAAUUGAAAUUUAGACCUGAGCUUUGUAAUCAACUAGGGUGUACCUCUUUCUGGAAUUAACCCUAAAAAGCAGAAGGGAGAAAAACAGAAACUCCGUGUGGUGUCCUUGGGUCUGUACGUCGAUCCUUUGAGAAGUUCCUGGCACUUCUGAAAGCCGUUCUUUAUGAAGUGACCUCUGAGGUCAGAAAGGUGAGCCGCAUGGGGAUUUAAGAGAACGGAGUGUGUGGUUUGUAUUCUCCCUACCGUGGCUCCAGGGAUGAGCCCACCUUGCCUGUUGGUCUCAUUCUUAGAUGCCCAGAUGGCCACUCCUUUCCCUUGGCACCCUAACUGGACCCAGGUGACUCUUUGAAGGUAACAGGGCUGUCUUUUGUGCCUCAGCCCCACUUUCUCAACCACUCACCCUAAAGUGGACGUCAGGGUCUUCUGUCUGCUGAUGCUUUCUUGGUGGCUCAAGCCCCAGCCCAGCUCCUGGCCCUGAAUUUGCUUCAACACUUUCUCAUCUCAAGAUAGUUACACCUGUCUUUUGUCUCAUUCUGCAACGAGUUUUGGUGUAAGUUGCUGUGGUUGAAUCAUGGUGCUUAAAAAGAUACAUGGGGUUCAGCUCCCCAUCACACCUAGGGCUGGGACUGGGUUUGGAAAUGGGGGCUCUGUGGAUGGAGUCGUGGUAAAAUGACGUCACAGGUGGACUGCAAUUCUAUGACUGGUGGCCUGGUAAGAGUAGGUGUGCACAGGGAAAUGGCAAUAAGAGAUGGGGAGGAUGGCCAUGAAAGGCUGGGAAUGGUGUCAGAGUUGUAAGACCCUAAGGCAAAGAAUGCCUGGGGCUAGAUACUGCAGAGGUAAGGAAGGGUCGCCUCUGGAGACCUGGGAGAGAGCAGAGCUGUGCACAGUUUUACUGGGGCCUUGGGUUUGGAUUGCCAUCUUCCUGAACUGCAAGCUUAUACUUUUCUGUGGUUUUAGUUUUGAGGCUGGGUCCCCUGUAUCCAGGUGUGCCUCCAACUUUAUGUGUAGCUGAGGAUGACCUUGAACUCUUGACCUUUCUUCUUUCAAGUCUCAAGUGUUGAAUUACAUGAACACUCCACCAUACCUAGUAUAUACCAUGCUGGGGACUGAACCCCAAGCUCAAGAUGCUAAACAAGUGAGCCACAUCCCAGUCCCAACUCCUCACUGUUCCAGCAUAUGGUACUUUACUUCAGAGAAUCUCGAAAAAAAGUAUACAGCUAAGUUAGAUGGUAAUUUCUCAGUUUUAAAUCUAGUGUUAUUGGGUAUUACUAUGCCCCAAGCUCAGUGCUCAAUUCUGGAACCCAAACCCAAGGCAAGAAAAUAAUAUACAGCGAGCAAAAUUUCCCGAGCGGGCCUGUGACUUUCUAAACUUACUCCAUCGUAUGCCUUGAGCUCCCCGGUGUCCAGCGUCCUCAUACCCACACACUCCUGCCCAUCACCAGUGUCUGCUUGUGUUGCUAAGCCAGCUCCUGGUUUUGCAGGUCUGUGAACUGAGGCUGAAGAGGUCCUGCUCUCAAUAGAAAAGUAGCAGAGGGCUUGAACUCUGUUACUGCUUAUUCAUGAUGCUUCAGCCAAGUCAGUGUAGGAGCCUCAGGCCGCCAAAACUUACUGAGAUCGCAACCCCCUGUAGCUUUCUGCCCGAUGAGAGGCUGUUGAAGUUAUGGAAAGACUUGGCUGGGAGUGUUCUUUCAGGUGAUGGAGACUCACAGGAAGGAAACACAUGGUCCGUUGCCUCAGGAGGACUUAGGGACGAAUCCAGGCAACAAACAGAUGAGCCUUCGAGCAGAAUAAAACUGUUCAGGAAAAACAACAACAAAAAAAACUUGUCUUUGGGAAGUAGAGUGAAGGUCAGCACAAACCAGGCUUCAGAGGCAAGAGAGACAGUGGCAGAUAUUGUGCCACCAUAGGAAGAUGCCAGCAGCCAUGAAUGUGAAAGAAUUUGCAAGAUUAGAGGAUUAAGAUGUGAAGCCUCAAGAUAAACUUAGAACUCCUACAAAGAUUAUUCUCCUUUCUGGGAAAAACUAUAAAUUUUCAACAAGGACAUAAAUGUGAGUGACCUGCAGAAAAGAAUAAAGCAAACUCCUGAAAAUGCGGAGCAGGAGCCCUCCAGUGUCUUGCAUGUAUAAAACCCGAAUUCAUGCUCAUGUCCAAGGAAGAAUCCCAAGAACAUUCGUGACCAUAGCAUACAACCUAAGCCACUGUAUACUACCCAGAGGUCCACCAGCAAUGGUAUGUACGAAUAAACGUGGAUGUACUCAUGCAAUGCAAUGCUGUAUAGAGUUGGAACUCAGUGUCCUGUGACUACAGAUAGCAUCACAGAUGAAUCUCAAACAAUAAAUGAAACUGCAUGCAAAGGAAUUCAUGGUGCUUUAUUCUACUUAGGUUUUUAGGCCUGGCUGCCCUGGAAUUCACUCUGUAGAUGACCAGGCUGGCCUCAGACUCAGAGAUUCACCUGCCUCUGCCUCCUGAGUGCUGGGAUUAAAGACCACCACCACCAUCUAGCUUUUUUUUUUAAUAACAAAGCCAAAAAAUAUUAUCCCCAGACACAACUUUAUCUGGGGAGAAGAUAGUGAGGCUCAGGCUAAUGGGGGUGUGUCUUGGACAUUUUCUUACCUUGUAUCCAUGUUUUGUGAUCAUUUGUCUGGCUAUGUGCUUACUUCCUGUGUGCUUUUAGAAUGUGUAUUCCAUAAAUCAUAUUUCAACAAUAAAAAAUGUUUGUUUACAGCAUGGAACCCUUAAAAACAAAAACCACUAGUAUUCAAGGAAAUAUUUUGCUUAGGAAUGGAACUACCUUCCAUACCAGCUGCCUUAAACCAGCAGAUGUGUUCAUCUUGUGAGGCCUCAUUCAAAAAGUCAUUGUUGUGUGUGUGUGUGUGUGUGUACACGUACACAUGUGUGCAUGCACAUAUGUGAGUGUAUAGUCAUGUGUAUAUGUGAGAUCAUGUUUGUACUUAUGUGUACAUGUGUGAUAUAUUAUGUGUAUGUGUAUGUGUGUGUGUGUGUGUGUGUGUGUGUGUGUGUGUGUGCAUGACACACACAUGUAUCUCAUAUGUGUGUAAGAGGCAGGUAGGAAUAUAUCAAGUCUCUUUCCCAGCCUGGAGGUGGAGGAUGUGGGGUCCAUCAGGGACACUAUUCCUUGGGGAUUGUGGCAAAUAUAAGCACCAGACAUGUGUUUUCAUAAAGAUGGGGAUGUGGGGGAAACAGAAGGCAGAGAGCAGAGCUGGCUAAGAGGCAGCCCAUGACAUGCACACACUAGCCCACAUAUUUUAGGUAUGGUUGCAUGACUAACAACAUAACCACCUAGCCAUCUUCAGCAUCCCCAGAAAUGACAACAGCCUGGCCAGAUCUGUCUGGUUUGGGUACUCACUCUCUCUUUUCUGGACAUGUUCCAUCUACCACUGACUUCACCAACCUGUCAGAAUUGACCACUUCAUUAAGGCAGCAAUAUGAGGGGCUUAGUGCACACCUUUAGUCUUAGCAUUCAGGAGGCAGAGGCAAGCGGGUUUCUGUCAGCCAGAAUUACAUAGCAGGCUACCCAGAGGUCCACAGUGAGUCCUUGUCUCAAAAAAGAAAAAGAAAAAGAAAAAAAAAAGGAUAGGAAAGCUGCUACAAACAUUUCUAGUUCAAUCAAAAAGGCAAAAAUGACCUUGACCUUGGAAAAUGAAAACGCAAUCCUCAGCAAAGUAUCUCAUUAAAUCACAAAUACCUUGGAUCUUGUUUAUUAGUCUCCAUUGCAAAUACCAAGCUCAGCAGUAAAUCAGCCAUAGCAGUAGCCAGGUAUCCAUGUGUCCCAAUAAAACUUUAUUUACAAGAACAAACAGUGGUCCAAAUGUGAUCCAUUAGCUUUAGUUUGCAGAGCCCUGCUCUGAGGUGCAGCCAUAUUUAGGACUGAGCAAACACUGUUUGGGAAGUGGGUUAAUUUCCUGAGACCUUGAAACAAACGUCAGAGACAACACCAGGUAGCACACUUGAUGUGCAUCCCACUGAGUGGCUCUUCUCUGCUCUCAGAGGCCUUCGGAAGCACCCUUCACCUGAGAACUUCCUGGGCUUGCAUUCACAUUGAGCCCCGCCUCUUUCCCAGCCUGCCCCCCUUGCCUCUGUAGCACACACCACGCUGGCCUGGCCCCAGCACUCUGUGUCUGCUGUGGGUGCAGGGCCAUGCCUCUGACCUCUUCCCUACACUGCUGCCCCUCCCCCAGGAAUCCCUCUUUCCUGCUACCAGAUGGGCUUUGUCUUUCAAGAGAUCCUUCAAGAGUCU